rnacentral:lncRNA from 1 species
CUCUGCUGGCAGUCAGCUCAGGAGAUCAGAGAAAUGGAAUACGAACCUUCAUGGUCUCCCUUGUAGGAGAAAAGUUUAAAGUGUAGCACAGAACAGAGCUCUUUUUGUGGCAAGGCCAAAGAACGUCAAUGCAACAACCAAACACCAUAUGAUGAACUCCCAUGGAAUCCCAAGCAAUCUUUCUGGCAGAAGAUUUUCCAGUGAAGAAUCAAAUUCAUCAUAUGAGGGGAGGACAUUUUGAAAAUUAAGGGUACAUUUCAACAAACAAGGCUGUCAGCCUUGCCCUCAAGCUUGAGCCCUAGUUUUCCAGCCCAGC